GACGAACGCUGGCGGCGCGCCUAACACAUGCAAGUCGAACGAGCGAGAGAGAGCUUGCUUUCUCAAGCGAGUGGCGAACGGGUGAGUAACGCGUGAGGAACCUGCCUCAAAGAGGGGGACAACAGUUGGAAACGACUGCUAAUACCGCAUAAGCCCACGACCCGGCAUCGGGUAGAGGGAAAAGGAGCAAUCCGCUUUGAGAUGGCCUCGCGUCCGAUUAGCUAGUUGGUGAGGUAACCGCCCACCAAGGCGACGAUCGGUAGACGGGCUGAAAGGUUGAAUGACCACAUUGAGACUGAGACACGGCCCAAGAUCCUACGGGAGGAAGCAGUGGGGAAUAUUGCAGAAUGAAGGAAAACAUGAUGCAGCGACGCCGCGUGGAGGAAGAAGUUCUUCGGAUUGUAAACUCCUGUUGUUGAGGAAGAUAAUGAUGGUACUCAAUAAGGAAGUUACGGCUAACUACGUG
rnacentral:rRNA from 1 species